GACGAACGCUGGCGGCGUGCUUAACACAUGCAAGUCGAGCGGUAAGGCCCUUUCGGGGGUACACGAGCGGCGAACGGGUGAGUAACACGUGGGUGACCUGCCCUUAGCUCUGGGAUAAGCCUGGGAAACUGGGUCUAAAUACCGGAUAUGACUCCAUAACGCAUGUUGUGGGGUGGAAAGCCUUGUGCGGCUAGGGAUGGGCCCGCGGCCUAUCAGCUUGUUGGUGGGGUGAUGGCCACCAAGGCGACGACGGGUAGCCGGCCUGAGAGGGCGACCGGCCACACUGGGACUGAGACACGGCCCAGACUCCUACGGGAGGCAGCAGUGGGGAAUCUUGCGCAAUGGGCGAAAGCCUGACGCAGCGACGCCGCGU
rnacentral:rRNA from 1 species